rnacentral:lncRNA from 1 species
CCGAGCCUCCCCUGCUCGCCGGCAAGGGCAGAACCUUCCUGCGAAGCUGUGCUGCCCCAGCAGAGCUGUCCUUCCUGAGCCGGGGGAAACGUGCAGCCCAAAGCUUGCCGAGUGGCUGCGCUUCCCCAGCAGUAGUGCGUAUGGGGGCCCCCCUGAGCUGCCUCUGACCCCUUCUAGUUCUCCACCUCUGUCCCAGCACAUCUGUCAGCUUGUCCUCUGCCAAGCCCCACUGGCCAGCGGGGACAUCCCCUGUCCAGCCGAGGGCUGAGCGAGGCGCCCCGCUGCUCCGCGCCGGGUCCAUGAGCCGGGCAGGACCUUGCCCUUCGCAGCCGGGGCCGCGGCACCCCCACGUCGCUGCGCUGCACGGGAAGCCCCCCCAGCACCCGACACGGAGCCGGAGCCACCGAGGUCUGCUGCCACGUGCAUGAGCGGGAGGCAGAGGAGCGGCCAAAGCCCAGCGCGCCCCUGGCACCUGAUCCCCCCGCGUCCUGCCUUCAUCUGACCCGGGAGAAACGCCCCUCAUGCACUGGGAUGUGCUCCAGAGGUGCUGGAGCCCCACUGCACCUCUCCAUCCCUGCGUCAGCCCUGGGGAGACAUCGGUGGGCCAUGGGGAGCGCAUCCCCCUGCCCCUGCUAGACGUGAUCCCAAAUUAGCAUCCCAUUCACCUGCUCGUUGCCGCGUUAGCUCUGUGAGGCUAAUAGGGCUUAAAAAAAAAAAAGUCUCUUGUCACUGAAAUCAGCAGCUCUGACUCAGAACAUGCGGAGGGAGCGGACCUGCUGAAUAAGGGAACCCUGCUGCUCGAAGAGCUCGCCUGGCAGCGCCCGCGCCGGGGGGGGCUUGCCCCAGGGUUGGGGUCAGGGCUCGUAUGGGGCCCCCCCGUUCCCGUUUUGAUGGCUAACUGCUGGUGGGGAGGGCGAAGCGUGAGCAGCGAAGCCAGCCGAAGCGAGGAGUGUUCCUGUGCCGUGUUCCACAAUUAAUCACGGCCACCCACGUCGCACCUUCCCCCUCCCCGAAAUCCUCCCUCGCCUGGUGCCGGAGGGGGGAAGGGAGGCAGCUCGGGUUUUAUGAAUUAAUCAAAGACAAUGCCUGCUUUUGAGAGCUGCUGAUUUAGAGAGCCCAUUGCAGGCGUGUGUGCGGUGUGAUUUCUUAGCCGAGCACCGCUCUGGACGAGCGUGCCAAGAGGAGCGGUUCCAGCUCCCGGCCGCAUCCUGGGGAGACGGGCUGAGUGGUCUUUUCAUCUACGAAUAAAACAACCAGGAACAAAGAAGGCA